AGCUAGUCGGAAGCAGAGUAUGAGGGCGUGCCACGCUAGCAGCUAGGCGAGCAUUGUAACGUGCGUUAUUAAGUGAUGCACAUUUGUCACAGAAGUGAAGGCUGGACUACAAUAGAGCUGUUUGGAGCAGUUUGUGACCAGUGUUUA